rnacentral:rRNA from 1 species
AAUGAAUGUUGGCGGCAUGGAUUAGGCAUGCAAGUCGAGCGAGAAGUGUAGCAAUACACGGAAAGCGGCGGAAGGGAGAGUAAUACGUGGGAAUCUGCCCUUAGACCUGGGAUAGCAGCGGGAAACUGCUGGUAAUACCAGAUAAUGUCUAUGGACCAAAGGUGUGAUUCCGUCUAGGGAUGAGCCCACGUCCUAUUAGCUAGUUGGUAGGGUAAUGGCCUACCAAGGCGAUGAGGGGUAGCGGGUGUGAGAGCAUGACCCGCCUCACUGGGACUGAGACACUGCCCAGAAGCCUACGGGUGGCUGCAGUCGAGAAUCUUCGGCAAUGGGCGCAAGCCUGACCGAGCGAUGCCGCGUGCGGGAUGAAGGCCUUCGGGUUGUAAACCGCUGUCGAGGGGGAGCAACUUCCAUAGAGUUAUCUUUAUGGAUUGAGUGAUCCCUGGAGGAAGGACGGGCUAAGUUCGUGCCAGCCGCCGCCGUAACAC